UGCAUCAUGCAUUUAGUAUGGAAGCCUGAAAAAAAUUAGAAGCCUAAAAAACAUUUUCAAUCCCGCCAUACUCGAAGCCGCGCACGGCGCACCAUUACCAAAACCCCAAAAUACUAAACCACCACUCCCCAUUAUCCAAAUUCUCCCAACUGCACCUAAACCUCAAUUCUCAAUUCAAUUCGCAAUUUUAAAACUGGAAUUCGUCAUUCCCAAUUGUUAAUCUCCAUUAACAGAUUCAAUUCACCACUCGCAGCUCCAUCAAAUCCAUCAUGGGUGACCACUCGAAUUUCUCUUUAUUCCGCUUGCUUAAUCACCGGUGGCCGCCACGUCCACUGCAGAGCGGUUGUCGCGCCUCCCUCACUUAAGUUUUGUUAUCUUCUUUUCUUCAAUACAGUUUUGUAAUAUUUAGGUGCUUCGAAUUUACUAUUUUAUGAUUCUUGGGAAAAUUGUGUGGCUGCUUUAUUGCUUUAAGGUUCGAUAUAUACAAGUAUACAGUCGUGAAGUUGAGUACCUCUACAACUUAAAUUGAAAACUGAAUUUUGGUAUAAUUUUAGGGUUUUUUAUGCGAAUAGUUGGUUUAUUUGGUUUAGUAAUUUCUCAUGAUGAUUUUCCCAUUUUUCUAUUAUUUUGUUCCUGCUCUUAUUUGUAAUUCUGAGAGCUAAUUAGCUUAAUUUUGUUCAUGCACUAGAAAUUGCUCUAAAAAUCAUAAAUUAGUGAUGUUAUAAGGCAAUGGAAAAUUGUUUUUUGGUGGUGAGUGAAUUGACAAAAAUUGUUGGAAAGUUGUUGUGUGAUGGUGAGUGAAUCAACCAAAACACAAUUUUUUUAAAUGGUUUAUGUUAAUGAUUUGAACUGUAUGUUUUGAUGCAAUUGAAGCAUUUUUGCUUCCAUCAUCAUAAUACCAUUGUUUGAUGUUAAGCCAUUUUCCUACUUGUUGUUAGCUGAACACCACGUUUCAGACCAACUUUUGCAAUGGAAAUUCUUUUGCGUAACUUAACAAUGACAGCUACCAAACCCUCUAGUUGCCUACUUCUGCCUGAAGACAAAAUUAAACCUAAGUACAAUUACAAAAAAAACUAAGCAUCUAGCAGGUAGAAUCACAGAAAAGUUAACAUACCAAGAGCAUGAGGGGGAAGUGUUCUAUCAAUCCUUCUUAAUGUUGUAGACUCCUUUAUUCCAAGAGUACGUCUGACUUUGUAAGGAAGCAAUCUAUGGUGGCUGGCAUCCAGGAACUAAAUUUGGCAGCAAAUCAGCAUCUAUGGGUAAUGGGUUAUCGCCCGCCAAGUCCAUAUAUAUGGGCCCAAGAUGAGAUAAUAAUUUAUAUUUCGUCCUCAUACUUUACAUCCAUUAAAGAUUCAGGAUCUCUCUUGUCAUCACGAGUUUUUAUGAGGUUCUCUUCUUGAUAUCGUUUAUUACCAUAGGAAUCAUCCUUUCUUAUAUUUUGAUUAACCAACAAACAACUAGUAACCUGAUUUUUAUUUUUCUUUAAAGUCCUCCCAGGAACUUCAUAGCUCACUCCUCAAUAUCAUUUAACGAUUUAACUUGUUUUAUGUGUUUAUUGUUUAUUUCAGGUAUGGCUUGUGUUGUUGCUAGCACCUUGAAUUGCAUUGUCUAUACGUGGAUUAAUUAGUACUUUCCUAGGAUUCCUAUCAUUUAUUCAAGAAAUGAUUGACGAGCUAGAGAUAUGUGGGUGAAAUAUUUAAACAAUCAAACACGAGACGGUGGAGAUUGAAGACAAUGCUCAAGUUUCAAUUGUACAUAUUAUUUGAUUAUUUUGGAAUUUUAGUUUUAGUAGAUAGCACUAGAUUAUAGAAACUUUAUUUUUAAGAUAUUAAUUAUUUAAAGAAAUUUAUGCUUUGACAAGUGAAAUUGAUUUUGUAUAUAAAUUAAAUCUAGUAAUUUUUUUUUA